UACGUAGGGUGCGAGCGUUAAUCGGAAUUACUGGGCGUAAAGCGUGCGCAGGCGGUUUGUAAGCCAGAUGUGAAAUCCCCGGGCUUAACCUGGGAAUGGCAUUUGGGACUGCAAGGCUUGAGUGCGGCAGAGGAGACUGGAAUUCCUGGUGUAGCAGUGAAAUGCGUAGAUAUCAGGAGGAACACCGAUGGCGAAGGCAGGUCUCUGGGCUGACACUGACGCCUCAUGACACGAAAGCGUGGGGAGCAAACAGG
rnacentral:rRNA from 1 species